rnacentral:rRNA from 1 species
AACGAACGCUGGCGGCAUGCCUAACACAUGCAAGUCGAACGAGACCUUCGGGUCUAGUGGCGCACGGGUGCGUAACGCGUGGGAACCUGCCCUUAGGUUCGGAAUAACUCCCCGAAAGGGGUGCUAAUACCGGAUAAUGUCUUCGGACCAAAGAUUUAUCGCCUUUGGAUGGGCCCGCGUUGGAUUAGCUAGUUGGUAGGGUAAAAGCCUACCAAGGCGACGAUCCAUAGCUGGUCUGAGAGGAUGAUCAGCCACACUGGGACUGAGACACGGCCCAGACUCCUACGGGAGGCAGCAGUGGGGAAUAUUGGACAAUGGGCGAAAGCCUGAUACAGCAAUGCCGCGUGAGUGAUGAAGGCCUUAGGGUUGUAAAGCUCUUUUACCCGGGAUGAUAAUGACAGUACCGGGAGAAUAAGCUCCGGCUAACUCCGU